GUAGGGCUUCGGCCCUGUCGAGAUGGAACCCUUGCCUUUUUAAGUCCCCUUCGUUUCCCCGGCAGGCUCGCCUGCCAAUGUGGACCCCCAAAAACACUCUGCAGUACCUGUAACAGUCUGAAAAACAAACAUAAAUUAAAACUUUCAACAACGGAUCUCUUGGUUCU
rnacentral:misc_RNA from 1 species